UUUAAGCGUGUAGGCUGGUUUUCCAGGCAAAUCCGGAAAAUCAAGGCUGAGGCGUGAUGACGAGGCACUACGGUGCUGAAGCAACAAAUGCCCUGCUUCCAGGAAAAGCCUCUAAGCAUCAGGUAACAUCAAAUCGUACCCCAAACCGACACAGGUGGUCAGGUAGAGAAUACCAAGGCGCUUGAGAGAACUCGGGUGAAGGAACUAGGCAAAAUGGUGCCGUAACUUCGGGAGAAGGCACGCUGAUAUGUAGGUGAAGCGACUUGCUCGUGGAGCUGAAAUCAGUCGAAGAUACCAGCUGGCUGCAACUGUUUAUUAAAAACACAGCACUGUGCAAACACGAAAGUGGACGUAUACGGUGUGACGCCUGCCCGGUGCCGGAAGGUUAAUUGAUGGGGUCAGCGCAAGCGAAGCUCUUGAUCGAAGCCCCGGUAAACGGCGGCCGUAACUAUAACGGUCCUAAGGUAGCGAAAUUCCUUGUCGGGUAAGUUCCGACCUGCACGAAUGGCGUAAUGAUGGCCAGGCUGUCUCCACCCGAGACUCAGUGAAAUUGAACUCGCUGUGAAGAUGCAGUGUACCCGCGGCAAGACGGAAAGACCCCGUGAACCUUUACUAUAGCUUGACACUGAACAUUGAGCCUUGAUGUGUAGGAUAGGUGGGAGGCUUUGAAGUGUGGACGCCAGUCUGCAUGGAGCCGGCCUUGAAAUACCACCCUUUAAUGUUUGAUGUUCUAACGUUGACCCGUGAUCCGGGUUGCGGACAGUGUCUGGUGGGUAGUUUGACUGGGGCGGUCUCCUCCUAAAGAGUAACGGAGGAGCACGAAGGUUGGCUAAUCCUGGUCGGACAUCAGGAGGUUAGUGCAAUGGCAUAAGCCAGCUUGACUGCGAGCGUGACGGCGCGAGCAGGUGCGAAAGCAGGUCAUAGUGAUCCGGUGGUUCUGAAUGGAAGGGCCAUCGCUCAACGGAUAAAAGGUACUCCGGGGAUAACAGGCUGAUACCGCCCAAGAGUUCAUAUCGACGGCGGUGUUUGGCACCUCGAUGUCGGCUCAUCACAUCCUGGGGCUGAAGUAGGUCCCAAGGGUAUGGCUGUUCGCCAUUUAAAGUGGUACGCGAGCUGGGUUUAGAACGUCGUGAGACAGUUCGGUCCCUAUCUGCCGUGGGCGCUGGAGAACUGAGGGGGGCUGCUCCUAGUACGAGAGGACCGGAGUGGACGCAUCACUGGUGUUCGGGUUGUCAUGCCAAUGGCACUGCCCGGUAGCUAAAUGCGGAAGAGAUAAGUGCUGAAAGCAUCUAAGCACGAAACUUGCCCCGAGAUGAGUUCUCCCUGACUCCUUGAGAGUCCUGAAGGAACGUUGAAGACGACGACGUUGAUAGGCCGGGUGUGUAAGCGCAGCGAUGCGUUGAGCUAACCGGUACUAAUGAACCGUGAGG
rnacentral:rRNA from 1 species